rnacentral:rRNA from 1 species
UACGUAGGGUGCGAGCGUUGUCCGGAAUUACUGGGCGUAAAGAGCUCGUAGGCGGUUUGUCGCGUCUUCGUGAAAACUCACAGCUUAACUGUGGGCGUGCGGGCGAUACGGGCAGACUGGAGUACUGCAGGGGAGACUGGAAUUCCUGGUGUAGCGGUGAAAUGCGCAGAUAUCAGGAGGAACACCGGUGGCGAAGGCGGGUCUCUGGGCAGUAACUGACGCUGAGGAGCGAAAGCGUGGGGAGCGAACAGG